rnacentral:rRNA from 1 species
UACAGAGGUCUCAAGCGUUGUUCGGAUUCAUUGGGCGUAAAGGGUGCGUAGGCGGCGCGGUAAGUCGGGUGUGAAAUCUCGGAGCUUAACUCCGAAACUGCAUUCGAUACUGCCGUGCUUGAGGACUGGAGAGGAGACUGGAAUUUACGGUGUAGCAGUGAAAUGCGUAGAUAUCGUAAGGGAAGACCAGUGGCGAAGGCGAGUCUCUGGACAGCAACUGACGCUGAGGCACGAAGGCCAGGGGAGCAAACGGG